AAACUAGAUUAUAGAAUUGCUCUAUAGAGUAAAAAAUAGAACAAACUAUUGGAGAUGAUCUAAGAAAGAGAAAAACCUACAUACGGUGGUAAUAUAAAACACUAAGAUAAUGUUGACAAACAAAUUAUUAUUGGAAGAGGUAUUGAUACACUACAAAAAAAAAAAGCUGUGAACUAAAUCACUUAAAGUGUAUCACAAAAUUAAAUGAUUCUAUUUUAAAGUACUUAUUUACAAAUGAUACAAAUAUAUAAAAUUUAGCAUCACUUACAAAAAACUGAUGCCUUAAUUAAAUUAUUUAGCAUCAAUUCAGUUAAAAGAUAUUUUCUUUAUUAGUUUGUAUCACUUUAACAAAACUGAUGUUGUUAUAUACAUUUAUAUCAACUAAAUAAUUGAUGUAUCUAUUUUUGGUUUAAAGUCACUUAUUUAAAUGAUAGAAAACUUACAUCAAAAAAUAAUUGAUGCCAAUAAAAAAUAAAAAUAGCAUAAAAUCGUAUUAUGAAAUAAUCUUAAUUGCGAAAGUUAAGGUAACCAGUUUUUUUUUUUAUAAUAUCAAUAAAAAUAAAAAUGAUGUUAUUUUACCUUAGUUUGCAUCAGUUAAUAUUUCAGGAAUUAAAAAACUAACGUGAAUCUGUAAAACUGCUUCCCAAAAAUAUUAACUUCUUUAACGGAGAUUUAGCCCCAAAACGUUUUCAUCCCCCAAUAAUAGCUUUUGGUAACUGCAACUAAAGCCAAAAGUAAUUAAUCUUCCUAUCUUGUCCCACUCGUUAUGGUUUAUCCUCCUAAGCACCAUCUCUGUCGCUUCUGCCUCUUCCAUACCACGAAGCUUCUCCUGCACCCUCCGCUCCUCUUCACUAUCCGUCUAUUCCAACCCCUCUUCAUCCGCCACAAUCACCACCGAUUCCGAACCCUUCUCUCUCGGUCAUCGCGCUCAUAAAGAUUUCCGAAUCCUUCAUAAUGUAUUAAAUCUGAACAUCAGUGUCUAUUUCAGCCUUCUUAUCGAAUUCUCUAACGCUAUGCAACCAUUUGACCUUGAAACUGUAGUUUCACUCUAAGAUUGUGUACUUAGAUAUUGCUGCAACUGUAUUGGAAGCCUUAAGUUAAAAAAAAAACUGUAUUGGAAGCCUUGAGUUCAAAAAAAACUGUAUUGGAAGCCUUGCAGAAUUACUAUGAGUUCUAUAAUUCAAACGUUCAUCGAGGAAUCCACUACUUAAGUGCUAAGGCUUGGGAUGACAACUUCGUUCAGUGCCGGUGGUUUCAAUAGAUCAGGUCCAUCAAGAUGCCGACCCCGAAGCUACCAUUGUACAAUUCAGUAUUGGAGAUUGUCUCGGGGCUCUAAUUGAUGGAAUGAUUAUCAACAUUACGUGGAUCUCUUAAGAGAAUUAGUUUAUUUUUGUUUUGUAAAUUUUCUCGCCGAAUAAAUGAUGUAAUUUACUUUUCAAUACAUUAUUUAUCAAUCUACUUUGAUUUCUGAUUUAAUUAAUUAUUUUGUUUUCA